ACAAGUAGUCAGAGCCCGUUAAUGGGUGAUGGCGUGCCUUUUGUAGAAUGAACCGGCGAGUUACGAUUUGAUGCAAGGUUAAGCAGUAAAUGUGGAGCCGUAGCGAAAGCGAGUCUGAAUAGGGCGUUUAGUAUUUGGUCGUAGACCCGAAACCAGGUGAUCUACCCUUGGUCAGGUUGAAGUUCAGGUAACACUGAAUGGAGGACCGAACCGACUUACGUUGAAAAGUGAGCGGAUGAACUGAGGGUAGCGGAGAAAUUCCAAUCGAACCUGGAGAUAGCUGGUUCUCUCCGAAAUAGCUUUAGGGCUAGCCUCAAGUGAUGAUUAUUGGAGGUAGAGCACUGUUUGGACGAGGGGCCCCUCUCGGGUUACCGAAUUCAGACAAACUCCGAAUGCCAAUUAAUUUAACUUGGGAGUCAGAACAUGGGUGAUAAGGUCCGUGUUCGAAAGGGAAACAGCCCAGACCACCAGCUAAGGUCCCAAAAUAUAUGUUAAGUGGAAAAGGAUGUGGCGUUGCCCAGACAACUAGGAUGUUGGCUUAGAAGCAGCCAUCAUUUAAAGAGUGCGUAAUAGCUCACUAGUCGAGUGACACUGCGCCGAAAAUGUACCGGGGCUAAACAUAUUACCGAAGCUGUGGAUUGUCCUUUGGACAAUGGUAGGAGAGCGUUCUAAGGGCGUUGAAGCAUGAUCGUAAGGACAUGUGGAGCGCUUAGAAGUGAGAAUGCCGGUGUGAGUAGCGAAAGACGGGUGAGAAUCCCGUCCACCGAUUGACUAAGGUUUCCAGAGGAAGGCUCGUCCGCUCUGGGUUAGUCGGGUCCUAAGCUGAGG
rnacentral:rRNA from 1 species